GACGAACGCUGGCGGCGUGCUUAACACAUGCAAGUCGAACGAAGAGCGAUGGAAGCUUGCUUCUCUCAAUCUUAGUGGCGAACGGGUGAGUAACGCGUAAUCAACCUGCCCUUCAGAGGGGGACAACAGUUGGAAACGACUGCUAAUACCGCAUACGAUCCAAUCUCGGCAUCGGGACUGGAUGAAAGGUGGCCUCUAUUUAUAAGCUCUCACUGUAGGAGGGGAUUGCGUCUGAUUAGCUAGUUGGAGGGGUAACGGCCCACCAAGGCGAUGAUCAGUAGCCGGUCUGAGAGGAUGAACGGCCACAUUGGGACUGAGACACGGCCCAGACUCCUACGGGAGGCAGCAGUGGGGAAUCUUCCGCAAUGGACGAAAGUCUGACGGAGCAACGCCGCGUGAGUGAGGACGGCCUUCGGGUUGUAAAGCUCUGUUAAUCGGGACGAAUGGUUCUUGUGCGAAUAGGGCGAGGAUUUGACGGUACCGGAAGAGAAAGCCACGGCUAACUACGUG
rnacentral:rRNA from 1 species